GACGAACGCUGGCGGCGUGCCUAAUACAUGCAAGUAGAACGCUGAAGCGAGGGGCUUGCUCUUCUUGGAUGAGUUGCGAACGGGUGAGUAACGCGUAGGUAACCUGCCUGGUAGCGGGGGAUAACUAUUGGAAACGAUAGCUAAUACCGCAUAAAAUUGAUUAUAGCAUGAUAAUUAAUUGAAAGAUGCAACUGCAUCACUACCAGAUGGACCUGCGUUGUAUUAGCUAGUUGGUGGGGUAACGGCUCAACAAGGGGACGAUACAUAGACGACCUGGGACGGUGGACCGCCCACACUGGGACGGAGACACGCCCAGGACUCCACGGGGGGGAGGAGUAGGGGAUCUUUGGAAAAGGGGGGAACGCUUACCGAGCAACGGCGCGGGAGGGGAGGAGGGUCUCGGAUCGUAAAGGUACGUUGUAAGGGAAGGACGGGUGUGGGUGUGGAAAGUUCACAGUGUGACGGUACCUUAACAGAAAGCGACGGCUAACUACGUG
rnacentral:rRNA from 1 species